UACGGAGGGGGCUAGCGUUGUUCGGAAUUACUGGGCGUAAAGCGCGCGUAGGCGGACCUGCAAGUCGGGGGUGAAAGCCCGAGGCUCAACCUCGGAACUGCCUUCGAUACUGCGGGUCUCGAGUCCGGGAGAGGUGAGUGGAAUUCCUAGUGUAGAGGUGAAAUUCGUAGAUAUUAGGAAGAACACCGGUGGCGAAGGCGGCUCUCUGGGCCUUACCUGACGCUGAGGAGCGAAAGCGUGGGUAGCGAACAGG
rnacentral:rRNA from 1 species